UCUUCAAAAUAACAUAUUCAAAAAUGGCCGCCAUAUCUGAAGCGAUAAAAAAUUAAAAGUGCAAAUGAUAGCCACUGUUGCCAAUAAUUUGGAAUGUUACCUUAAGAUUCAAAAUAUUAAAUUUGAAAAAACUCAAAAAGGAAAUCAUUUAAUAAUUUAUUUAGGGUACGAGUACAAAAAGUGCCAACAAAAAAUUUAUACACUUAAGUUGUCGUGAUAAUUGUUCUGGUAGAGCUAAGCUCUCAUUAAAGGACAUAAUAAUCACGAUAGAACACACAGCGAAGUGUAAAUUCUUCCAUAAACAUAAUCACAAGAUUCUGUGAUUUUGCCUGAUAUCUUAAUUUCAUCCAAUGGUAUUCCACAUUUGGAACCACAAGUUUCUCUCAUAGUGCCUGAUAUCUCAAUUUCAUCCAAUGGUAUUCCAUAUUUGGAAGCACAAGUUUCUCCCAUAGUGCCUGACACAAAUCUAGAUUCCCCUCUUGACAUAGCCCAAGUCUUAUUAGACUUAAAUUCAAAUAUUUAUGAGGCUCGUUUUGUCAAAAGCCAAAAGGGGAAAAUGUUACUCUUAUUUCAGAACUAUCUAUAUAGAUUUCACUGUCAAAAUAGGGACAUUAUAAAAUAUCGUUGUAGAGUAGCUGAUUGUCAUGCUAAAUGCAUAUUUGAUGGUGCUUAUAUUGCUUCGGGUAGUGUUGUUAAUUAGUUGAUUUCUUCCGACUAAGACUAAUAGUCGUAGUCGAGGAAAUCGACUAAAAACUUUAGCGACUAAAUUAGUCGAUUAGUCGACUAAAACGACUAAUUAGUCGACUAAAAAAGACUAAUUAGUCGACUAAAAACGACUAAUUAGUCGACUAAAAACGACUAAUUAGUCGACUAAAAGCGACUAAUUUAGUCGACUAAUCAGAGAAGAUAAACAAAAAGAAGUAAAGUGAGAAUUUGUCAUUAAAAUAACUAUAUGAGUUAUAUAUAAGUUAUUUUUAAUAUUUUUUGAAUUUAUUUUUCUUUGAAGGAACAGGUUAAAAUUAUAAAUUGUUAUUUUUGAACUUUUUUUAAAUUAUUUUAAAGCAAGGUAUAUAUAUUGUAAACAUGUUGAAUCAAAAUUUCAGUGAAGAUGUACCAUAGAAAAGUGACAAUUGUCAUAAUCGUCAUUUUUAAGUUUUUUUGAAGCAUAUGGGUAAAAAUAUAUAUUGUAAACAUGUUAUAUUUAAAUUUCAGUGAAGAUGUACCAUAGAAAAGUGACAAUUGUCACAAUCGUCAUUUAUAGGUUUUUUUGAAAUUUUUUGAAGCAAAUGGUGAAGAUGUACCAUAGAAAAGUGACAAUUGUCAUAAUCGUCAUUUAUAUGUUUUUUUGAAAUUUUUUGAAGCAAAUGGUGAAGAUAUACCAUAGAAAAGUGACAAUUGUCAUAAUCGUCAUUUAUAUGUUUUUUUGAAAUUUUUUGAAGCAAAUGUGUAAAAAUAUAUAUUGUAAACAUGUUAUAUUAAAAUUUCAGUGAAGAUAUACCAUAGACUAGUGAUAAUUCUCAUAAUCAUUAUUUUUUUAACUUUUUUGAAGUAACAGAGUAAAAUAAAUUGUAAACAUGUUAAUUUGAAAUUUAAAUGAGGAUGUGACAUAUGACAAUUAAUAUAUUCGUUAAUUUUAAGAUCUUUAGAAUCAUUGCUGAAACGAGCUAGGAUUUAGCUUACGCCCUUCCAUCUAAUUUUAAAAGUGAUAACGGACCGAUUUAAAAAUUUAAACUUUUAUUAGUUAUUUAAAAUUUAUUAGGUAAACAUUAAAAAAUAUAUGCUUCAUUUUUAAUACUAAAGUACCGAUUACUUUUUUGGAUAUUAAUGUUGAGAGAAGGUAAUUAGAUUAAAAAUACUUUUUGGAUUUUUUUGUAUGUAACUAACAUCGACGUGGAUUAAAAUUUAA